UUUUUUUCCUCUGUAUUCUUGUUCUUUUAAUUAAGAAGAAGUGAAAAAUGACAUUGAUACUCUAUUAACACUACAAUCAGGGUCUGGCCAAGAGGGGAGCACCGCCGUCGACCUCAAUUGGCAGCAAGCCAUGCUUCUUCGGAAUUCCGCGUUUUGCAUCAUCGUUCAGUUCUCGAUUCUGAUCGUGAUUAUCGAGACGCUUCCAACAGUCUUUGUUGGGUGUGAAUUUGAGACUCUCCGUGCUGAGCUUGCCGUCUGUGAAAUGUGGUGAACGUUUGCGGUGGAUGGUGAUGUUUGCGGUGUUGAUUGUUGCGUGGGUUCGGAUUUGCAUCGCAUGCGCAGUCAGAUCAUGUCCGCAGAGCCAUGGAUGGAGACAGUUCGACCAAAUAGUGCGCUGGGAUGAGUGAUUUUGCUCAAUAAUUUUUGGUAACAUGGUGAAUUCUGCCGUGGCGAUCGUUUGCUCAUGUUGCUGAGCAGGUUGUCUAUGCGUCCUCUUUUGAUAAGUCAUGUGUCGUCUUCAUCUUUUUUUCUGACAUGAAAUGCCGGAAGUUCGUGUAUGACUUUGAAAUGUAGUGGAAGGUCUGCUCGCAACCUUCGCACAAUUUCGAGGACCAUCUCCACAGUUCACGAAACACACGGGGCACGCGCCAAUAAUCGAGGAUCCUCGCCCAUUCUUGCUGGUCUUUUUACGAGCAAGUAGGAUUGUUUUCCGUGUGUAGUUGAUUUUACGUUAAGCCCAUGACCUGAUUUGAUUUGUAAAAGGUAAAUUAUCCCCUAUAAUAUUUCGUCAGUUCUCGUUACAGGGAGUCCUCCAUCAGACUAAGCAGAGUUUGAAAUCAGUGCUCAUACUCGGAUUGCUGAUCAUGUGAGAGAUGCUCUGCAGGAUGUCGUAAUCGAAACUCAAAGGACCAUAUACGCUCCGUCCUGGUUCAAGAUUCGCGGAAUGGAUCCUGUACCUGCAGGCUUUCAAAGCACUGUUCCCAAGGUCCCGAGAUAUUAGAGCAAGCAGAGUUGGAUCAUUCGUGGGGCCAACACCCAUGGUUCCGAAAUGCAGUUGCAGUUGAAUCAGCCCGAGCUCUACACAAAAUUUUACAACACAAGAAAAGGAUAGUUCUCUACAUGUGGUUACGUCAAUGUAGCUUAAGAUCGGAGGGGAGAGAUGGUGGAGGUUUGGACGAGUCUUUAUAUGAUGCGUAAUUGCAGCGGGGGUAAUCUGUCCUGUCACGUCUGUCUCCUAAGAUAUCUGAAUAAGUUAUAAAACUCUGUACAGUAGAAUUCUUUAUGUAGAGACUUAAUAUAUGAGUAACCUCUUGUUGGUUUUAAGCCA